rnacentral:rRNA from 1 species
GGGCCCGCACAAGCGGUGGAGCAUGUGGUUUAAUUCGACGCAACGCGCAGAACCUUACCAGGGUUUGACAUCCCGUGCCACGCUCAGAGAUGGGCGGUCCCCGCAAGGGGCGCGGAGACAGGUGCUGCAUGGCUGUCGUCAGCUCGUGUCGUGAGAUGUUGGGUUAAGUCCCGCAACGAGCGCAACCCUCUCCUUUAGUUGCCAUCAUUCAGUUGGGCACUCUAAAGGGACCGCCGGCGACAAGCCGGAGGAAGGUGGGGAUGACGUCAAGUCCUCAUGGCCCUUACACCCUGGGCUACACACGUGCUACAAUGGCGGUGACAAUGGGCAGCGACCACGCGAGUGGAUGCGAAUCCCAAAAAACCGUCCCAGUUCAGAUUGCACUCUGCAACUCGAGUGCAUGAAGGCGGAAUCGCUAGUAAUCGCAGAACAGCAGGCUGCGGUGAAUACGUUCCCGGGCCUU